CUAAGAAUAUUGGACAAUGGGGGAAACCCUGAUCCAGCCAUGCCGCGUGAAUGAAGAAGGCCUUCGGGUUGUAAAGUUCUUUUAGUCGUGAAGAUGAUGACAGUAGCGACAGAAAAAGCACCGGCUAACUUCGUGCCAGCAGCCGCGGUAAUACGAAGGGUGCAAGCGUUGUUCGGAUUUACUGGGCGUAAAGCGUCCGUAGGUGGUUUGUUAAGUCAGUGGUGAAAUCCCAGGGCCCAACCCUGGAACCGCCUUUGAUACUGGCAAACUGGAGCGUGAUAGAGGAAGAUGGAAUAUCUGGUGUAGGGGUGAAAUCCGUAGAUAUCAGAUGGAACACCAAUGGCGAAGGCAGUCUUCUGGAUCAUUGCUGACACUGAGGGACGAAAGCGUGGGGAGCAAACA
rnacentral:rRNA from 1 species